rnacentral:rRNA from 1 species
UGAGGGAUAUUGGGCAAUGGGGGAAACCCUGACCCAGCGACGCCGCGUGAGGGAAGACGGUCUUCGGAUUGUAAACCUCUGUCUUUGGGGACGAAAAAGGACGGUACCCAAGGAGGAAGCUCCGGCUAACUACGUGCCAGCAGCCGCGGUAAUACGUAGGGAGCGAGCGUUGUCCGGAAUUACUGGGUGUAAAGGGAGCGUAGGCGGGAUUGCAAGUUGGAUGUGAAAACUGCGGGCUCAACCCGGAGCGUGCAUUCAAAACUGCGAUUCUUGAGUGAAGUAGAGGCAAGCGGAAUUCCUAGU